rnacentral:rRNA from 1 species
UGGGGAAUAUUGCACAAUGGGCGAAAGCCUGAUGCAGCAACGCCGCGUGAGUGAUGAAGGCCUUCGGGUUGUAAAGCUCUGUCUUCUGGGACGAUAAUGACGGUACCAGAGGAGGAAGCCACGGCUAACUACGUGCCAGCAGCCGCGGUAAUACGUAGGUGGCAAGCGUUGUCCGGAUUUACUGGGCGCAAAGGAUGCGUAGGCGGAUACUUAAGUCAGAUGUGAAAAUCCCGGGCUUAACUUGGGAACUGCAUUUGAAACUGGGUAUCUAGAGUGCGGGAGAGGAAAGUGGAAUUCCUAGUGUAGCGGUGAAAUGCGUAGAGAUUAGGAAGAACACCAGUGGCGAAGGCGACUUUCUGGACCGUAACUGACGCUGAGGCAUGAAAGCGUGGGGAGCAAACA